rnacentral:rRNA from 1 species
CUGUGCAGCCCUGCCAAACUAAAUGUACCUGAUCUUGUUUGAUUUUGGAAGCUAAGCAGACCUAGGCUUGGCUACCACUUGCAUGAGAGACUACUGUAGAAUCCCAGCAACUCUAAAUA